rnacentral:rRNA from 1 species
GAUGAACGCUGGCGGCGUGCCUAAUACAUGCAAGUAGAACGCUGAAGGAGGAGCUUGCUCUUCUGGAUGAGUUGCGAACGGGUGAGUAACGCGUAGGUAACCUGCCUGGUAGCGGGGGAUAACUAUUGGAAACGAUAGCUAAUACCGCAUGACAACAGUUAUUGCAUGAUAACUGUUUAAAAGGGGCAACUGCUCCACUACCAGAUGGACCUGCGUUGUAUUAGCUAGUUGGUGAGGUAACGGCUCCCCAAGGCGACGAUACUUAGCCGACCUGGGAGGGGGAUCGGCCACACUGGGACUGGGACACGGCCCAGACUCCUACGGGAGGCAGCAGUAGGGAAUCUUCGGCAAUGGACGGAAGUCUGACCGAGCAACGCCGCGUGAGUGAAGAAGGUUUUCGGAUCGUAAAGCUCUGUUGUAAGAGAAGAACGAGUGUGAGAGUGGAAAGUUCACACUGUGACGGUAUCUUACCAGAAAGGGACGGCUAACUACGUG